AGGAAUUAUAACUGCCAUGGCCUCUAUGGCACCUUUGUCACAGGAGCAUGUGCCUGAAGAUGGCUUAUGUAGCCAUAUGAAAAGCAUGAUGCCGAAAGACUUUACUGACAUGGACAUGUUCACUGGAGAGGCCAUCGAUGUUGUCAUCGGAUCCUCAAGAGAUGACGGAAAGGUGUAUGCUAGAUCCGGGCAAUGGAUAGAAAAGGCUGCUUGGGGGACAUUGUUGCGGUCUAC